CCCCAGUUAAAUAAUAUGUAUUUGAGAGCUAUUUUUUAUUUAAACUCUCCGAGAGAGCAUCCAAAAUUCAAAAACACUGGCCAUAAAUCUCAGAGUCCACGGGCGCACAGUUGAUUAUCUGGAGCCCAGGGGGAUCCGAUGUUCCGUGUCGGCGUUUCAACAACCGGAAAAGACGACGACAACAUCUGAUCAAAUAAUAAUAAUAAUAUUAAAAAAAAAAAAAACCAACCACCAUUCUUAUUUUACCUCUUCUUCUGAAGAGGCUUCUUAGGAAAGCUAGGAGAAGCCGCACCUCUCCCUUCCCCCGCACGAGUCUCGACUACUCGGACGAUGUCUGCUUCGCCGGAGUUCUCUCGCGCUCUAUCGGGUUUCGCCCUGCAGCCGAUCUCGGUCGUGCUGCCGUUUGCCGAUCAUUCGACGGCACGGGACGAGGAGGAAGAAUGCCGCACGCCGACCGACCGAAGAAGCAGGCUGGCAUUCGAAGUCACCAGCUGCCCGCCGGCUCCGAAGAAGCCGCCGAGAGCACCUUCGUGCAAGCGCAGGCUGCUGGAGCUGGAGCUCAUAAGCGUGAGGCUUGAAGAGAUCGAAAGUUGGCUACGGUCCAAGGAAUGCAGCGCGAAGAGGCUGCGACGGCCACAGGGUGGUAGCUUUUAGCAGUUCGUUUUCUUCUGCGAUGAUACUGUGUAGGUGUAGCUUUUCUUGAUGUUAAGUACGUGUUUUAUGUAUGUAACGGACAAGUAGAUGAAUUAUACUCGGCGGCGGUUGUUAACGAACCAGUUAUUGUUUGGUUAUUUAACUUCUUCUCUUUUGUUUUGUUGGAAAAGAUUGGUGUCUUGUUGUUAUUAGAGCGAAAUAAUCUAUGUUUAAACUUUUCGAA